CACCUAUAAUAUUGUAAUAUUGCGUAAGGCUGAGUACAUUUUCAACACAUUUUUUCACUAUUCUUUUAAGACCAUUUGGCCUUUUCUAAUAAUGUCCAUGAUUCGUUUUUGUGUGUUUAUAUAGCAAGUGUCUCAAAAUUCAACUAAAAUCAGCAAAGACCACCACAGGGUUACAUUUCUGUUUCCAAAAAUAAUUCUGUGCUAGUGGAGAUGUAGGAUUUAAAAUACAAAUCACAUUCAAAGUUCUGAACUGAGGCAUUUUUGUGUAUGUAUGUAGAUACACAGGUAAAGCUGCUGCCCCCUUCAGGACUGGAAGUGCUAAAAAAAACCUCGGAAGACUUUGUGAACUCUCAAAGUAGACUGAUAUUUAGUUAUUUAGUUACAAAUAUUCAUUGGAGUCUUUGUUGGACUGUGAUAUCGCACAAAGUCAAAUAAAUGUUUGUCUAGAGAGCUGAACUGAAGAUUGUUUAUUUUGUCUUAAAGAGAGUUAGAGUGCUUGUUUUUCCACUGCUAUGACAAAUGGACGGCAAUUUCCUUGCCUAUUAAAACUGUAAUUAACCUUAAUGAAAACCAGAGCACUUCCUUCAUGGGAAAAUCGCUAAAGGGAGACAGAUCAAGUACACAAGAAGGAGCUGUUUGUAUGAAUGAGCACAGAUGGAGUCAUUGCAUGUUUAAAUGACAUGUCACACAAAUCACAGGCUUCUAUUGUAAUGUCUUUACACAAGACUGUUUUAUUGAGAGAAUAAAGCAAUUUUGGCUGAAUCCCAAUACACAUGCUUCUACUACACCUUCCAAAGAUAUGUGCUUUUGAGUAUGUAAAAAGAUGCUAUAUGCCAGUUUUGGGACGUAUACUGAUAAAAUUGUCUUGAUUCAACAUUUCAAUGUUUUGCAUGUAAAUAUUAGCAUCUCAAUAUAUUCCUGUAUUCAUUAAAUUCAAUCACCUUUACCUAAAAUCAACUUUAAAAAAAGUUGAACAUUUAUUUUUCAUUAUGUGACAUUUCUGAAUGAAAUCGAAUAUUCAACAAUAACAAAAAUAAGAAAAGACUAGAUUUUAUCCAUCUUCAUUUGUAUUACACUAUGUUUGGCUGGUAAGUUUUUUUUUUAAAUGUUCACCAAGUUUGCAUUUAUUAAGUCUACAAAAGUACAGUAAAAUUUGUAUUGGAAUAUAAUUUAAAAUCAGAUGUAUUCCUUUGAUGUCAAAGCUGAAUUUUCAGCAGCAAUUACUCAUGUCACAUGAUCCUUCAGAAAUUUGAUGUCCCAGACAUAUUUCUUAUUAUUAUAACAGUUAAAAUCAGUUGUAGUGCUUUAUAGUUUUGUGGAAACUAUUAUUUUUUUCAGGAUUUUGUGCUGUUUUAUAAAAUGUAACAUGAUAAAUUUCUUUACUUUAAAUUUUAAAAUUUAAUGAAUCAUUGUUGAACUAAAGUAUAAAUUCCUUAAAGAAAAUGACUUGACCCCAAACUAUCGAACAUUUAUGCGAAUUGGCAUUUAAUACAUUGAGUUACUGAAUAUGAAGUAUUGUCUUUGAUUUCGAGUGUCUAAAUGUGUUUCUGUGUAUGAAAAUAAUAGUGCAUUAUUUUGAAUGAUACACUUUUUCUCAACCAACAUCUUUAUAUUUGAGUCUGUGACUCCAGACAACGUGACCUUAACUCUUUAUAAAGUGUCUGAUGUUUAUGCUGUCAAGUUUGUUUUCUUACUGGAUUCAGUGACGAUUUAUUUUUAUUUCUGUAUUUUAUUGGAUUUUGAGCUCAUGAAAAUAAAUAAAACACAAACACAUCUGCAGUCUGUAAUACUGCAACAUUUUUCUCUUUAAGCUUCAUGUAGGAUAAUGAAUCUCAAACAGUGCAUGUAAAGGGAGUUUGUGUUCCUUAUUAAAAGCCACUUUGAUUUGG